CCUACGGGAGGCAGCAGUGGGGAAUAUUGGGCAAUGGGCGCAAGCCUGACCCAGCAACGCCGCGUGAAGGAAGAAGGCUUUCGGGUUGUAAACUUCUUUUGUCAGGGAAGAGUAGAAGACGGUACCUGACGAAUAAGCCACGGCUAACUACGUGCCAGCAGCCGCGGUAAUACGUAGGUGGCAAGCGUUGUCCGGAUUUACUGGGUGGAAAGGGCGUGUAGCCGGGUUGACAAGUCAGAUGUGAAAUCUGGAGGCUCAACCUCCAAAUUGCAUUUGAAACUGUUUUUCUUGAGUACUGGAGAGGCAGACGGAAUUCCUUGUGUAGCGGUGAAAUGCGUAGAUAUAAGGAGGAACACCAGUGGCGAAGGCGGUCUGCUGGACAGCAACUGACGGUGAGGCGCGAAAGCGUGGGGAGCAAACAGGAUUAGAUACCCUAGUAGUC
rnacentral:rRNA from 1 species